AGUGAGGAUAGAGGGCUGUCCACUGCAAGAAGUGAGAAGCCUGUCUUGCAACUCUCUGUAACCCCCUGAAAAACUACACUGAAGAGUUCUCCAGACCUCUUGAGAGUACGUGGAAGGGAAUACAAGUGUGAGAGCCUGUCACUGGUAGUUUUACUAACAAAGACUGAUGUUUCCAGUUCAAAAAUCUCAAGUGCGGGAAGGAAUUGCAAUGGAAAUCCUACUUCUGAUUGCCAUACUAUAGAUCACUGGUGCAAGUCACAGAAACUUCUGUCUACUGUUAUCUGUAUGUUGGCUAGAGUGGAAAAGUGUCAGUGGUGGCUGGAGAGGUGCUGGUCUCUCUGCAGAAUCAUCCUUGACUUAAGUACAAGUCAUAUCCACAUUCAUAAUUUUGGCUUCCAAACUUGUCAUGGACUUAUACAUGCGUCCAACUUAUACCUUGUAUUACUUCAUUUUAUAAUUAUUAACCUGGG
rnacentral:lncRNA from 11 species